UUUAAAUCCAUAUCCUGUUGCGUGCUAGGCACCCGUCUGCUCGAAUGGGCUUGCACGCGCGUGACUGUUUUCGCGAGCGGGGCCUGCAAGCCUCUUGGUCUUUGUGAGUGGGGCUACUGCCGAUCCCGAGCCUACAUGUGUGCGGGCCUUGCUGCACAAAUGCGCAUGGUGCGCACAUGUGGAUUGAACAUGCUUGGUGCGCGUGGGCCAUCUUCUUCGAGAGUGGGCUGCUCAUGGGUGCGACAUCUUUGGGUCGUGGCCCAUCUUGGCCAUAAGGCCUUGAGGCCUUCUCGAGUUCGGCCCAAAGAUUGAACUUCUUUUUGAUUCUUCAAGCCCAUUAAUCUUACUUAAGUCUUAAACGUUCUAGCUUGAACAAACUUGG
rnacentral:lncRNA from 1 species